GACGAACGCUGGCGGCGUGCUUAACACAUGCAAGUCGAACGGAAAGGCCCUGCUUUUGUGGGGUGCUCGAGUGGCGAACGGGUGAGUAACACGUGAGUAUCCUGCCCUUGACUUUGGGAUAACUUCAGGAAACUGGGGCUAAUACCGGAUAGGAGCUCCUGCUGCAUGGGGGGGGUUGGAAAGUUUCGGCGGUUGGGGAUGGACUCGCGGCUUAUCAGCUUGUUGGUGGGGUAGUGGCUUACCAAGGCUUUGACGGGUAGCCGGCCUGAGAGGGUGACCGGCCACAUUGGGACUGAGAUACGGCCCAGACUCCUACGGGAGGCAGCAGUGGGGAAUAUUGCACAAUGGGCGGAAGCCUGAUGCAGCAACGCCGCGUGCGGGAUGACGGCCUUCGGGUUGUAAACCGCUUUCGCCUGUGACGAAGCGUGAGUGACGGUAAUGGGUAAAGAAGCACCGGCUAACUACGUG
rnacentral:rRNA from 1 species